rnacentral:sRNA from 1 species
GUUGGGCAUGGUAGCAAAUGCCUGUAAUCCCAGCUAUUGGGGAAGCUGAGGCAGGAGGAUUGCAAGUUCAAGCUCAACCUUGGAAACUUGGCAAGACCUUGUGUCAA